UAAGGGCAGCGAUAUGGCUGUUUUUGGAGUGGCUCCUGAGAAUAAUCAUGACGAUUAUAUUAGUACGAAUGAAGCUGUAUGGCGUAUUUUAUCGUUUCCAAUUCAUGACAGACAUCCGGUUGUUGUACAUUUGGCAGUUCAUCUUGAAAACGGCCAACGUGUUUACUACACUGCUGCAAAUGCCGAACAAAGAGCAGUAGAGCCACCAGUAACUACACUGACAGCUUAUUUCCAGUUAUGUGAAACUGAUGAAUUUUCCAGGACUUUGCUAUAUUCGGUAGUGCCUCACUAUUUCACAUGGAAUGCAUCAACAAAAAAUUUCAACGUCGCAAACAAGGCACACCUGUUGAUGGUUAUCCAGGUAUUUUUCGAACAGAUGCUUUGGGACGCAUUUAUACAGUUAGUCCAGCUAAUGUUGAAUGUUUUUACUUGCGACUUUUGUUGGUGAACGUACAUGGACCUAAAUCAUUCCGAACUGUUAAUGGUCAAUUGUGCGCAACAUACCGUGAAGCAUGUCAACACUUGCAUUUGCUGGAAGAUGAUACGCAUUGGGAUGCUACGCUUCGUGAUGCAUCAAUUGUUUCUCCACCAAUUCAAAUUCGUAGGUUAUUUGCGAUCAUAAUAUCAACAUGUUUUCUAUCAAAUCCACUGGAAUUGUGGAAUAAAUACAAAGAUUUCAUGGCUGAAGACAUUUUGAUUCGACUUCGACAUCGUUCCAAUGAUCCUGAAUUGCUGCUGACAUUGGAAAUGUAUAAUGAAGCCUUGAUAAUGAUCGAAGAUUUGUGCCUUACGAUUGCAAAUAAGGCAUUAGGGCAACUAGGAUCAAUCAAUUUUUUGCGUUGAGAAGCGCGCCGGGUAACGCUAGUAUUAAUAUAAAAUGAUUGGAAGAAUUUUAUGAAGACAUUAUGGCAUCAAUAAAGAAAUCCGAUCGAUGUUGUAAUCCAUUUAAGUUGGAAUAACAUUUAAGAAAAGUGGGUUUAUGUCCAGCAACUGGCAUUAUUAAAGUAAGUUUGGGACAUUGUUGAGCUACCAAGCUUUUUUGAUAGCUUCGAAUCGCGAUAUAAAACAACGACGAUAUAUAUUUACAAAAUAUUUAUUAAUAUAAAUAUAUAUAAUACAACGAGUAGAAAGUUACGUGGCUGGUGGUUUAUUAGAUGAAAUGCCUGCCUGUCUGCAGGUAGCGAAUGUAAGAACCGAACUAGAAAAUAAUGCGUGUGCCGGUAUCGAAUGUAAAAAGCGAACUAAAACUAAGAUGCUAGGCUUAGGCAAAGCUAAGCUUAAUUGUUCUAACAUGUAUGUAUGUAUAAACAUAUUAAAGGAUAAAGGGAAAUGAGGAAUUAGAAUAACGAGUAAUGUGUGGUGGAUAUGCACAAUUAGAGUGACCAGAUAACAAUUAAUAUAAAAUAUUAAAUAUUUACAAUGUUUUCUCACCACAGUUGGUGGAAUAUUUGUGUGCGUAUUAAUUUAGUUAACUUAAGUAUAAAUAAUAACUUAAGAUUAAUGCUACUCAUUAUUGGUAGUUCCAUAGUGAAAGGAGCUGCUCCGAACAUCCUCCACCCGUUGAAAGGUCUAACUUUCAAAAGAAUCUUUGACAGGUAAAACGCACAGUUUGUUGAUAGCUCGACGCAUCAUGCCGGUAGACGUACGAAGAACGGCUACUCUUGCAACCCCGUCUGUCCCAGUGACAAGUUCUGUAACUCGAGCCAAGGGCCAUUUAAGAGGUGCUGAAUUUUCGUCUUUGAUGCAUACGAUGUCAUUGACUUCAAUGUUUGGGUGUGGUUUACGCCACUUCGCUCGUUGUUGUAGAAUAGUAAGAUAUUCUUCACUCCAUCGCUUCCAAAAUAUCUGUUGUAUGUAGGUAAUCUGCUGCCAGCGAUCUAAACGAUUGCAGUUUAGAUGCGUGAGGUUCGGCUCAGGAAUAGCGAUAAGAGGACCACCAAUAAGAAAAUGUCCGGGCGUCAGUACAUCAAGAUCUUCUGGAUUUUCUGAAAGUGGUACAAGAGGUCUUGAAUUAAUUACUGCUGAGAUUUGACAUACUAAGGUGCGUAAUUCUUCAAAACCAAGAAGAACCAACGGAGCGAUAGAAGUGCUUUUUUGCCAUUUUUACUGCUGCCUCCCACAGACCACCAAAAUGUGGUGAUCGAGGAGGAAUAAAACGCCAAUCUAUCUCAUUAUUAAGGCAGUAAGCGUGAACUUGAUUGCGAUGAUUUUCACUAAGAAAUAGCUCGCGUAAAUCCUUCAGCUCGUUCUUGGCGCCAACAAAAUUUGUAGCAUUGUCUGACCAAAUGCAACUUGGUAUGCCACGAGUUGCUAUAAAGCGCUUAAGUGCAUCAAGAAACGAGCCUGUUGAAAGAUCUUUCACCAGUUCCAUCCACACGGCUUUUGUGGCGAAGCAAAUGAAUACGCUAACAUAGCAUUUUUGAGGUGCUUUUUUACGCGUUUCGGGUUUGAAAUAAAAUGGUCCACAGUAGUCUAUGCCCGUAACGAUAAAGGGCCGUGAAGCAUGGAUGCGUUCCUUAGGCAAGUCGGUCAUGAUGUGCUCAAUGAGGCGUGGUUUCGAUCUGCAACAUAUGAUACAUUUUCGUAGAACACUGGCAAUAGUUUUCCUGCCACCUAUAGGCCAAAAUUGCAUACGAAUGGAGGCAAGUAGAGACUGAGGACCUGCAUGGUGAUACUUUCGAUGAAAAUGAGUGAUUAUUGACGACGUCAGUGGGUGAUCUUUUGGUAAAAUCAUUGGAUGACGUGCCUCAAAGUCUAAUGUUGAGUUCUUUAAAAGACCUGCAACUCGUAUAAUUCCAAAAUCAUCCAAAAAUGGCGAUAACGAAGCGAUUUUACUUGAUGUGUGUACAAAGUUGUUCUCCUUCAGGGCGACGAUUUCUGACCACAAUUGUGCUCUUUGGACUAGGCGUAUGAGCAAUUGAGUCCCACGAUGGAUAUCUGUAGUUGUGAGCUGUGAUCCUUUCGACUUUAUAAAUUUGUAUAUGUAUCCAAAGAUACGCUGCAUUGUUCCGAACGAGUUGAUAUAUUUGAACGAAAAAGUUAUGUCGGGUCUAUCAGAUGAGAUGUGCAAAACCUUUUGACGAGUUUCUGGUAGAGAUAUGUGAGAUGCGCAUGGUUGUGGCCAUGAUGAUUCGACGUUUUCCAAAAAUUGUGGACCAUACGUCCAAAGCCUUGACCUUAGAAGCUCCUUUGGUGUAGCGCCCUUUGAUAGGAUGUCAGCAGGAUUCAUGGAGGUGGGAAAGUAACGCCACUGCAUGCCUUCAGUUAAUUGCUGUAUAGCGCAAAUUCGAUUGGCAACAAAUACGUUGAACUUUGAGGGUUCCUGUCGUAGCCAUGAGAGAACCACUGAUGAAUCCGACCAGCAGUAAUAAGAACAAUCAAAUAUAUUCAUUUUUCUUAAUUCAGAUAGUAAUUGCGCCAGUAAGGCGGCUGCGCAAAGCUCUAAUUUGGGCACUGUCAGCGUCUUAAGAGGAGCGACACGAGCCUUGGAACACAACAAGUGGACUUUAAUGUCAUUAUCCUUAACUGAGCGAACGUAAACACAAGCGCCGUAUGCUUCCGGGCUGGCAUCACAAAAUGCAUGUAUUUGAACAGUAGCGCCAGGCUGAAGAACAUAGCGCGGAAAUGAAGUAUGUUGAAGAUCAACAAAAUCGUUACAAAAUGCUAACCAUGCUGUGCAUAUGGAAAGUGGUAAACUUUCAUCCCAAUCGAGCUUGUCUCUCCACAUCCUUUGCAACAGUAUUUUAACUCUAGUAAGUGUAGGACCAAUCAGACCUAAUGGGUCGUAGAAGCGUGCUAUGGUAGACAAUACGGAACGCUUGGAACAUUUUUCCGAUGUUUGCUGAGGUUUAUAUUUAAACAAAAAGACAUCCUUCGAUGGAUUCCAAACAAGUCCAAGAGUUUUGACAAUAUCGCUGGAUUCAUGGAAACUAAGAAGACUUUCUCUAUCAGCAACAGGAAUUUUGCUGAGAACAUCUGAGUUCUUAGAGCACCACUUUCUUAACUGAAAGUUACCUUUAGAAAGUACGUUUGUAGUUUGUUAUUGCCUUGUUGUACCUCCUCUAAUGAACUUCCUCCGGAGAUAAGAUCAUCUACAUAGAAACCGCGAAGAACGAAUUCUGAACCAAGUGGAUAAGAUGAGGAUUCAUCUAAUGCUAGCUGAUGCAUAGUCCGUAUAGCCAAGAACGCAGCAGGCUUGGUGCCGUAUGUGACAGUGUCUAACUUGUAUAUACGUAAUUUUUCUUCUGGGGAAUCUCGCCAUAGUAUGCAUUGAAGCAUAUUAUCUGGAGGUGUUACGCGAACGCAUCGAUACAUCUUGCAAAUGUCCCCAGUGAGUGCAAUUGGAAAGGUACGAAAACGAACGAGAAUGUUGAAAAGUUUGGGUUGAAUGGUAGGACCAGUCAUGAGUAUGUCAUUUAGUGAUAACCCUGAAGUUGUAGCCGCAGAACCGUCAAAAACAACUCGCAACUUCGUCGACGUACUAUCAUCCUUAAUAACGCAAUGAUGAGGUAGAAAGUACUUGCACUUGGAAAUCAUUCCUUCAGAAACUAAUGACAUAUGACCAAGGUGCUCAUAUUCCUUCAUAAAUGAGCUAUAUUUCGCCUUCAAAUUAGGAUUUCUACUAAAUUUGCGUUCAAUAUUCUCGAAUCUGCGUCUAGCAGCUAAAUAUGAAUCUCCAAGUGAAUCUAAGCUGCACUUAAUGGGUAAGCGAACCGAAUACUCACCCGAAGGUAAGCGUGAAUAAUUAUUUUUGAAAUGUUCCUCACAGUCGAGAUCUUCUUUACAACUUUUGGUAAUUGGUUCAUGAACAAGUUCGAUUUCCCAAAAGUGGCGAACUAAUUUGUCUACCUGCAUAUCGUUAUCAAUUCCACUAGAAGAUCUCUGGCUUACAAUAAAUGUAGAUAGUUGAGGAGUUUGCUGCCAACCACCAGAUAAAACCCAUCCCAGUCGAGUUUUUUGAAGAAUGGGCAAUCCAGGUGCCAACUUUAUCUGCCCCACACAAAUGAGUUCGAAGAACAGUCCUGCUCCGAUGAGCAUAUCGAUGCGUUGUGGUAUGUUGAAAGCAGGAUCGGCUAGUUGGAUAUUCGAAGGAACAUUCCAAUCAUCGGUCAUGACUGAAGUUCCCGGUUGAUUAUCAGUAAUCGUUUGAGCGACAAGAGCAGUAAUGUUUGUUGAGUAAUCUGAAGUCCGCGACUUUAGUACGAGAUUAACUGAGCAUCCGUCUGUUGGAAAAUUGGCAUCUCCAAUUCCAGAAACUGAAGCGAAGGAUUUAGAUUUAGACAGUUGAAGUUGUCCAAAAGUGAGCGACAAGGUACGAAAGUUCCGGCACGAUUCUUUACUAAAACGAUAGCAGUAGCUAAAAGCACAACAUCAGAUGGAGAUCGGGAAGCAGAGAUGUCAGGCUGCGUUGGCAGCGUUGCAGUCAUGGCAUUAGCUUGGACAGAGUUCGAUAUUAAUGGUAAAUCGUUACUAUUAGCUGAUGGUAAACGAUUAAAAUGUAAAAGCGUGUGAUGCUUUGAAUGACAUUUUCGACAAUUACUAGAUUUGCAGUCUCGCAUCUGAUGGCCUUUCUUUAAACAGUUUAGACAUAGUAAAAGUUUCUUAACUUCUUUCUGACGAAUAUUAGGCGAAAGAUUUAAAAACCGUUGGCAAUUAUAAAUCAAAUGUUCAGCAUUUCCACAAAAUGCGCAAACACCCAGUAAGCUAUUUGAAGCAACAAAGGAUUUUCUUUGAUGUGUACUCACGGUUUUUCCAGUUUUACCAAAUGUUUCAGCUUGUGUUUGUAAUGCAUGCUCUACGUUCUCGAGGGUACGACAUCGAUGUUCUAAAAAUGCAGCUAAUGAUUCCCACGAUGGUAACUCGUUUAUUGACGAACUUUCUUCCCAUUUUGCUUGAGUUACUUUGUCCAACUUUUGAGUUAAAAACUGUACCACUAUGCAGUCCGCUAUUUGCUCUUUGGAGCCAAGUGACUGCAACGCACAUAUAUGCGAAUUGACCUUGUCCGACAACGCUCGCAGCUUGCUGACAGUACCAUCUGCUUUGUCCAUCCCGAAAAUCUCCCUGAUAUGUGCCUGAAAAAUAAGACGUUUAUUAUCAAAUCGUUUAAUGAGAAGAUCUAAUGCGAUUUUAUAAUUAGCCUCAUUUAUUUCCAACGAUCGUAUGGUGUCAAGAGCAGCACCACUCAAGCAGGAACGCAAAUGUUGCAAUUUGUCCACAUCGCUUAGGUCGCUGUCCUUAUCGAUGACUGAUAUGAACAUCGAAUAGAAAUUUGUCCACUCUAUAUAACAUCCACUGAAUUUCGGCAACGUUAAUUGAGGCAAACGAGAACGAUUAGUAUUCACUAUAAUAGGCUGGAAUUCAUUGCUGUUCAUUUUAAAUGUGGAACAAUGUUGAGAAGCGCUACGCUUUCCAAUUUCAGUUUGACGAGGUUAGGUGAUCAGCGCGGUAACGUAUUGCGGUUAACCGUACUGAACCGUUGAAGAAAUUAGCGGCACCCGAUAAACGGUGCUUACGGUUUUAAGUUACGUUAGAAAUGUUUUCGCUUAAAUACCCAAAUUUACCGUACUAGCGCUUUCUAGAAAUCACGCCACUAUUUUGCCACAAAUCAAAUAGGUUUUAAACCACGAGUUUGAUUUAUCAAUUGUUCACUGCAAGAUAUGUCCACACUAAUGUUACACUAGCACGGUGGCGCACGAACUAAUAGUUUGAUAGUUAAUGUUAAGUUUAACUUUAUCACCAAUAAACACACACAGCGAUCACGUCGGGGUCACCAAAAUGUUGAGCUACCAAGCUUUUUUGAUAGCUUCGAAUCGCGAUAUAAAACAACGACGAUAUAUAUUUACAAAAUAUUUAUUAAUAUAAAUAUAUGUAAUACAACGAGUAGAAAGUUACGUGGCUGGUGGUUUAUUAGGUGAAAUGCCUGCCUGUCUGCAGGUAGCGAAUAUAAGAACCGAACUAGAAAAUAAUGCGUGUGCCGGUAUCGAAUGUAAAAAGCGAACUAAAACUAAGAUGCUAGGCUUAGGCAAAGCUAAGCUUAAUUGUUCUAACAUGUAUGUAUGUAUAAACAUAUUAAAGGAUAAAGGGAAAUGAGGAAUUAGAAUAACGAGUAAUGUGUGGUGGAUAUGCACAAUUAGAGUGACCAGAUAACAAUUAAUAUAAAAUAUUAAAUAUUUACAAUGUUUUCUCACCACAGUUGGUGGAAUAUUUGUGUGCGUAUUAAUUUAGUUAACUUAAGUAUAAAUAAUAACUUAAGAUUAAUGCUACUCAUUAUUGGUAGUUCCAUAGUGAAAGGAGCUGCUCCGAACAGACAUCAUUUGUUAUGCAGUUCGUGUCGAAAAGAAGCUUCAAAAUUAGUCAAGGAACAACCAAAAACUAGUGAUGAUCCUAAUGUUGAUGCAAGUGACCAUGAAGAUGAUUUUAUUGACAACAAUGAGAACAGUGAUAAUCCAUUAUGAAGCUAGGCAUCCCAAGUUAGCGCUGCAACUCAAUUACUCAUUAUAAACUAUGCAUUGCGACUGUUGAAUCAAUCGCCGAUUCCUUCAAAAAAAUUGAAUGAUUAUCAAUUUUUAAAUAAUAAAAUAAAUCAGAUAUCUGACAGCUUAAAAAAAGUUUGCUCUCAGCUGCCGAUGAAGGAUCUAUCGACGACGAUGCCGAAAAUUUUCGCUCCUUAAUUAAAAUGCUGCAUGACAAAUUCAGUGAUAAAGAAAUGGAUAAGUCUUUAAAAAUACAAAUUUUGACAUUGUUACCUAAAAAAUAGAGUGAAAGGCGUAUUUGUGAAACCAUGAAUACAUCACGACAUUGAACAACGGUAGCAAAAAAGCUAGUUGAAGAAAAGGGUCUACUUUCAACACCUGAAUCGAAAUUAGGGAGGACAAUGACUCAUCAAAUGUUAAUAAAAAUUGAGAUUUUUUAAAAAAAUUGAAAAUUUGAUUUUCAAAAUUCGCUUCUUUACGACCGAAACAUUGUGUGUUAGCAGGAGCAAGUGGAACACACACCAUCUGUGUAUGUACGAUCUAUCAAACCUUUAAGUUGAUGAUGCUUGGUGCAAAUCAUCAUUCUUUAACAAUAAAUACGGAAAAGUCCAUGAAACACUAUAGUGAUUGUUUGGACUUGAUGAUUUGUGAGACUCCAUCGGUCCAAUGCUAUUUGGGUGGAUGUAACAACUGCCCAGGAGUAGAAGAGUUGAGUAACAUUCUACUAACAUGUUUUGAGAAUCAGGAGAUCGAGAAUAUUACGUAUAAAUAUUGGAUAUCAAAACCGAGAAGUAGUUUGGAAACUUUUAUCAAACCUACAGAAGAAUUUAUUGAAAACUUUUGUAGUGAACUAAAAGAUCUUUUACCUCACUCAUUUAUUGCUAAAGAACAAGCCAAAUUUUUGAAAAAAUUUAAAGAAACAUUGAAACCAAAUUAAUUUGUCAUUAUAUGUGAUUUCGCAGAGAAUUAUGCGUUUGUAGUACAAAAUGCAGCAUCUGGUUUUCACUGGAAUAAUAACCAAGCAACAGUUUUUCCGGUGGUUAUUUAUUACAAAGUAAAUGAUGAACUUGAACACAAAAGUUUAGUAAUUAUUUCAGACUGUAAUAAUCACGAUGCCGCUGCUGUUCAUGUUUUCAUCAAAUUAAGAAAUGAUUAUGUAAAAAGUCUUCCUGAAUGCUGUAACAAGAUAUACUAUUUUUCCGAUGGGGCUCCUCAACAGUUCAAAAACUCUAAAAAUUUUGUGAAUUUAUAUUAUCAUGAAGAUGAUUUUGAUAUUCCUGCUGAAUGGCAUUUUUCUGCGACUGCCCAUGGCAAAGGUCCGUGUAAUGGAAUUGGUUUCAUUAUCAAACGACACGUAGCGAGAACCAGUCUCCAACUUCCAGUUGAUAAACAAAUAACAACACCGAUAGAAUUUUUUGAAUGGGCAUCUAAUCCGAAUAACUUACCAAAUAUUCGUAUCAUAGUUAAGUUCUCUCCAGAAAAAGAUUAUAAUACAGCAUUAACUGAUUUAAAUGACAGAUUUUUGAAAACGAAACCAAUUGUAGGAACUCAACAACUACCUUGCAUAAUUCCGGACAAAAAUGGUUGUUUGUAUGUUAAAAAAUUUUCAAACUCUACUGAACAUACAAUUUGUAAAAUAUUUAAACGCCAGAGAAAAAAUUUUUUAUUUUUUUUUAGUAAAUAAAAAAAUAUAAAAAAAUCGCCCCACUCCGGGAUUAGCAGGGAUAGUUGUCAAAUUAAUUGAAGUUUGUUUUAAGGAAAAAAAUGGCGAACUUCCAAAAAAAAAUUACGAUUUUACUUAAAAAAACCGAUUAUUUUAUAUAAUUGAUCGUGUUAAAUUUUUUUCGUGUAUUUUUUCGAAAAGUUCAUUCAAAAUUAAAAUUUAAAAAAAAUGUCGCCAAAGUUAUGGAUAUUUGAAAAUAAAAAAGCCAUUUUUUAGCAAAAAAUAUCACAAUUCAUAACUUUUUUGAAGUUAGACAAAAAAUUUUGAAAAAAUUCUCAAAAAUGAUUUUCAAAGGGUAGAGAAGGAUGGAUAAGUUUCAGCAAAAUCUAAAGAGGUCGGGUUCAAAAGUGGUCGAUUUGGUAUGGAAUACCCCAUAUGUAGUAUGUAUUAUGCCGUUUUAGAAUCCAAUAGGAUAUGCUAAAGAUUGGCGUCGCCGCGUUAGUACGAAUCAUAGAAAUUAACUUGGAAGAAUUUUUCAUUAGCGUUAAUUUAAUUAAUUAAUAAAAUUUAAAAAAUUAUAACUUAAUGCGGUUUAUUAAAAAUAUUGUUCAAAUUGUUCGUUAUCUUAAUUAAGAUAAGAAAAGAAAUAUGUAAUACUUAAGAUCAAGAAAACACACAGUCCACUAAUUUUAAAUAAUCAUUUCUUUCCCUCGGCAAUAUCUUCAAAAAUAAGUAAGCCGAGUCAGUAAAGCCGAGAUAUUGUAAUACAUGAAUAUGUUAAAACACAUACAGUUACUGAACAUAAAUAUCUAUGUUCAAAUAUGUUGAACAUACAUACAUAUAGUACAUAUGUAAGUACAUAAACAGACACGUGCAUUUAAAUGCAAUGCGCAUCCAAUAAAAAUAAAAUUGCAUGAGUAAGCACAAGCCAUAACUUUACUAAUCAGAUAACAUUAAACACACAUGUAUUGAGUUGUACACUUAAAAACGACCCCAUAUCAUGCAGCAUAACUAAUAUGUUGCAAUACAUACAAACAUAUAUAUAUAAGUUAUCGGGCCUUUUACUUCGGCACCGAAAAAAAUAUUCCUUAAUUUUUUGUAAGAUCCUUAUGACCUUCUUUAUUCAAAUAUUAAAUUGCAACUGAUUUUACAUUUUAUACAUAUGCUAAAAAGUAACCUUUUUCUACCUGUUGCGUCAAGCGACAAAUGUAAACCUAAAAUAAAAAUAAUAAAUGAAUUGUAGAAAAAUGAAUUAUAAAAAUUAUAAAAUAUUGAAUUAUAUUAUUAUUAUAUACUUACCUUGAUAAUACAUUUGUAGUACUAAAAUAUUACUUACCUUACUUACCUCAACGUAAUCUUCUACAAUAUUUAACGAAAGUUGAAAAUUACUAUACUUACCCCUUUUUUAAUACAUAUGAACAUUACCACUAGUUUAAGCCGUUAGUUUUAAGAUUUAGGCUAAGCAACUAAAUGAAAUUAAAUAAAUGCUCUAUUGUAAUUGAACCGUGGAAUCGACCGGACGCGUUCUCAUUUUUUACCAUAAUUUUCUAUCGACAGGCAAUUAGGCUUCUUUAUUUUAUUCGCGCAUUCUCUAAGUUAUAUUAUCGCUUCUCAAAAACGCUUGAGAAUUUUCACUACCUGCACCUUGACUUACAAUUCUUACGAAUUGUAGCCUUAGCGGCUCGUGUCGGAUGUUACUUCCUGUUGUUGCAAUUGUUAGCGUCAGCUAUAACAAAAAAUAAAUAAAAACAAUAAUGAGUGCUUUGCAGCCUCACCAGCAAGGCCGUAUGAAUCCCUUGAAUGCCUAUUUCAGUUUUAUCGGCCCAACUACAAUAACAACUACUGGCAAUAUAAAGAGUACCGGCGAUGAUGAGUCAUGGCGGCGAUCAGCAGAAAAGGAAACGCAGCAAAGAACGCAGUCGACAAAAGCAGCAGAAAACAACAAUCGGGCAACAAAUGCGCUGACAGCAACCAGUGUGCAGGUACCAGCUAGUGCGCAGGCAACAAAGAAAAUCACAACGCAUGGUGAGAAUGUACCAAUAAAUAGGUAUGUAUAGUUUAAAAAAACUAAAACACAAGCUUUUAAAGCACAUCAAACUAAAAAGUGAAAAAUAAUUCUUUGUGUAAACUAACAAUAAUAAUGAAGGAAAAAUUCCCGCAUUACUAAUUACAAAUAAGGCGAGAUUAUUCAUUCUCAUCACCGCAAGACAAAAGUACAUCUGAAUGUCACCAGGAAAAAGAGGUUACAUGUGACGAAAAUGACAAACAUACAUUAGAUGCUGAACCAUAGACUUCAUGCCACUGUGAAUUAAUAAUUGCAAGCUUAGAGAAUGUACCUGCGUCUCCUGACCCUGGUGGUGGAUUCGAAAAGAACCAGAGUUUUUCCAAAAUAUGAAUAGUGACUUCUCUGAAACUUCUUCAAGUUUUCCAGAUUCAAAGGAUAAAACGAAAACUAGAUACUUAUUUAAAAACAUUUUUAUUCGUAAAUUGACAAAUGGUGAGUCUUUAUACUGUUAUUUCUGCCGUCUAUUUAAUACCACUACUGGUACUGGACAUAAUUUAAGUUCUCGUAAUGGAUAUAAAGAUUGGAAGCAUAUAAGUAACUUAUUAAUACUUAGAGCAUGAUAACAGUUUACAGCACAGGGAAUUUAUGAUGAAUUAUGUUGCAAGAAUGAAAACUACUGGACGAAUUGAUACUGACUUGCUGUCCCAAUACUUAUAAUACAGAAAUUAACUAUUGGAAGAAUGUGCUUAGGAGGAUUGUUGCAGUAGUGACAUUUUUGUCUUCAAGAGAUCUUGCUUUUCGUGGCGAUAAUGAGUCAUUAGGAUUGCAAAAUAAUGGGAAUUAUUUUGGAUGCUUAGAACUGAUUAGUGAAUUUGAUCCUUUUCUUGCUGAUCACAUGAAAAACUGCGGAAAUCGUGGAAAAAGGAAGUACAUCAUAAUUAUCGGCAAAUAUUUGUAAUAAAAACCAUUGUCAGAGAACUUAAAUCAGCAAAAUACUAUUCUAUUAGCGUAGACUCUACGCCAGAUCUGCCCCAGGAUGACCAACUAACUUUCAUAGUUAGAUACGUAAAAGACGGACAGCCUUUUGAUUUAUGCAAUUUUUGCCUAUGGAUAAACAUAAUGCGCAAUAUAUAGCAGAUACCAGUUUAAACUCUUUUCAAAGCCUUGAUAUUCCUAUAAAAGAUUUUCGCGGGCAGAGCUAUGACAAUGCAUCAAAUAUGUCUGGAAAGUACUCUGGUGUUCAGUCAAGAAUAAAAGAAAUUUACGAAUUUGCGAUUUACGUUCCAUGUGCGGCACAUUCGCUAAAUUUAGUGGGUGUUCAGGCUGUUGAGUAUGUGACUGAAGCGGCAUCAUUCUUUCAAUUUGUAUAAAAAUUGUUCAAUUUUUUCUCGACUUCAACAAAACGAUGAAAAAUUUUGACAGAGCAUUUAGGAGCAAAUAGAGUCCUAAAGUCUCUUUCGGGAACUAGAUGGUCUGCACGUGCCAAUGCUAUUAAUGCUUUGCAAAAUGGUUAUUCAAAUAUUUCUGAAACAUUGUCCUUAAUCGCAAGUGACACCAAUCAGGCCCUUAGCCUAGAAAAAAAAGGGAAAUAUGGAAAGAUCUUUUGGGAAUUAUGAAUAAAACAAGUCUAAGUUUACAGAGUAGCACCCUGACCAAGGCCGUUGUAACGAAACUUUUCGAAUCUCUGAUCAGUUAUCUCAAUACCGCACGCAAUAAUUUUGAUCAGUACGAAACGGCUGCUAAAGAAAACAAUCCAUUAUUUGACUACAAAGAUACAUUUGAAAGAAAAAAAAAUUGCAGCACAAGCAUCACUUCUUUUGAAGCAUCAUCAGAGACUGCACAGUUGAGAGACAAGGAUAAGUUUCGUGUAGAUACUUUCAUUCCCAUAAUUGACACAUUAAAUACACAUUUAAAAAAACGUUCGGCAGCAUACCAAGAAAUUUAUAGUCGAUUUAGUUUUCUUUGUCAGUUAACAACAAUUGAAUCUGACGAGUUGAUCAAAAAAUGCAAAGAAUUUUCAGAAUUUUAUCAUGAAGACAUUAAUGCAGAUGAGCUCAAAACAGAAUGUUUUCAUUUAAGCCAAUAUUUAAAAAACAGAGCAAAACAAUCAACGGAUUUAAAUAUCUCAAACUUACAUAACGUAAUAAAAUCAGAUAAAUCGGAAGAAACUUUUCCAAAUGUAGAAAUUGCUAAUAGAAUAUUUCUUUGUCUAAUGGUUACCAAUUGUAGUGGGGAGCGGUAGCAGCUUAAGAGAAUAAAAAAUGAAUUGCGAACGACAAUAUUACAAGAACGACUGAGCAGUUUGACAAUUAUGUGUAUAGAAAGUGAUAUCUUUCAAAAAAAUUUACUUUAAACAUAUAAUAGAAGAUUUUGCUCAACAGAAAUUCCGAAAGAAAUCGUUAUCUUAAUAUCGUAAUCACACUCACACACACCCACACACACAAACACACACACCUACACGCAUCAUCAUUAAUGACAUUUAUAUCAUACUGUAUUUGAUUACCUUUAUUAAAUGUAAAAAAAAAUUAGUACGAGUAUAAGUCGCUUUUUUUUACUUUCAAAAAGGGCCCCAAAUUCUUGUGUGCCCAAGGGCCGCAGCUUGGUUUAAGACGGCCCUGUUGAUGACUUUACGAAUUAUUACUUCUUAGUAGAAUCAUUUUUUCUAAAGCUUCACUGUUACAUGAGGUUUUACCUGUCAAUUUUGAACAGUCUAGUUCUUUAAUUCGAAUACCGUCCAAAGAUCUACAACGACUGAGUGCUACAUAAGCUUGUCCAACAGCAAAUAGUCGAGAGCACAGAUAAAUUAUUGAAUGAUCUAUUGUACAACCUUGCAUCUUAUGAACGGUCGACGCCCAACUCAGUAUGCUAUUUAAAUCUCACCAAAACUAGUUUUAUAUUGAUGUUGCAUACUUUUAAGCGCAUCUUUUUGGUGAGCUGCUUAAACUUACUGUCGCCUUCCACUUAAAAAAGUUACAAACAUACUGUGCCCAAAAAAUAAGGUGACAUUGUAUUUAUUUUGAAAAUUCUUUAUUUAUUCUUCCAAAUCAAUUUCAUUCCCUUCAAAGGAGUCCUCUCCCGAUGCAAUGCACUUAUGCCAACGAAUUUUCCAAUCUUCGAAACACUGGUUGUAGUCACUUUCCGGGUUGGCCUUCAGUUCCGUCUUCGCUGCGGCUUGAAUCUCCUCUAUCGUAUUAAAACGGUGUCCCCGGAGCGGUAUUUUGAGCUUGGUGAACAGCCAGAAGUCGCACGGCGCCAGAUCAGGUGAAUACGGUGGU